AUGAGACAGACAUGAUACCCAAAGUGCAAGCUCUGGAAUAUAAAGUAAAAAUUAGUAAAGGGGAGAGUUGUCAUAUUGAGGAGGUACUCAGUCAUAUGAGAGUGCAGGUCUCAACUUUUGUAAUACAUCACCUUUGUAUUUUUAGAAUUUUAAACGUAGAUUGCACAUCCAUUCUGUCCAAAAUUUAUUUUUAAAUCUGAUUUUUCAAGGUUUUAAUUUUUGACUAAUUUCUGUUUCUAUUAAGUCAAUUUUCUGCCUAGUUAAGAAGGAACUAAGAAACCUUGUGAUAAAUAUUGUGCAAGACAGAAGAAAUGGGUCAGCUUGCAAGAUUGUGUCUGCUACAGUGAGUGUGUGUGUGGAGGGGGAGAUAAGAAAAUGAAACGAAUACACAAAGAAGGCAAAACAUCAACUUUCUGAAGUAUAACAGAUUACACCAAAGCUAAGGUGGUCACUCAUUUAUGCAUUUUUAGAACACAUUGGAAGAAAAAUUAAAGGUUAUUUUUCUCCCAUGCAAUUUUCAGGCUCCGUUCCCAGAGAGCAGACUAAUAGAAAUGUUCUCCAACCAUUAGACUGAAGUGUUAGAAAUAAUACUUCGCACACACCCCAGUCAAUGCAUUUCUAAUCCUCAACACUCCAUGGGCCGUGUGACUCCUGACCGUUCUUAGGACGGCCGUGGCAAGCCGGCACCUGGGCAUUUGGCCCGAGCGGUCCUCCGCCAGAAUGGAAGGGUGGAUGACCACAGUGAAGUCUACGCCAUUGAACCUGUUGGUUCCCACUCUGUUCUGAUAGAGAUCCCGGGAUCUGACAUCAGGAAUCUGGUCAGGUUCGAGCCGCCUGGCCCACGGAACCCACCUCCGACACUUGCCACAACCUCGAGCCAGGUGCUUGGGUCUACGUACGGUGCCAUCAUCGAAAGCACGCCUUGGAGCCCCGGUGGAAGGGUCCUCAUCAGGUACUGCUUACUACACAGACGGCUGUUAAACUAUCUGGCAUCGCAGCAUGGAUACAUGCUUCACAGUGUAAGAAGG